rnacentral:rRNA from 1 species
AACGCGAAGAACCUUACCAACCCUUGACAUCCUCGGACCGCCAGAGAGAUCUGGUUUCCACUUCGGUGGCCGAGUGACAGGUGCUGCAUGGCUGUCGUCAGCUCGUGUCGUGAGAUGUUCGGUUAAGUCCGGCAACGAGCGCAACCCACAUCCUUAGUUGCCAGCAGUUCGGCUGGGCACUCUAGGGAAACUGCCCGUGAUAAGCGGGAGGAAGGUGUGGAUGACGUCAAGUCCUCAUGGCCCUUACGGGUUGGGCUACACACGUGCUACAAUGGCAUCUACAGUGGGUUAAUCCCCAAAAGAUGUCUCAGUUCGGAUUGGGGUCUGCAACUCGACCCCAUGAAGUCGGAAUCGCUAGUAAUCGCGUAACAGCAUGACGCGGUGAAUACGUUCCCGGGGUCUGUACACACCGG